CAGUCGCCGCGGUAAUACGUAGGGUGCAAGCGUUAAUCGGAAUUACUGGGCGUAAAGCGUGCGCAGGCGGUUAUAUAAGACAGAUGUGAAAUCCCCGGGCUCAACCUGGGAACUGCAUUUGUGACUGUAUAGCUAGAGUACGGCAGAGGGGGAUGGAAUUCCGCGUGUAGCAGUGAAAUGCGUAGAUAUGCGGAGGAACACCGAUGGCGAAGGCAAUCCCCUGGGCCUGUACUGACGCUCAUGCACGAAAGCGUGGGGAGCAAACAGGAUUAGAUACCCCCGUAGUCCCUGUCUCUUAUAC
rnacentral:rRNA from 1 species